CCCAGGAUGCGUUUCGCCACAAAUGAACUCUCGCGAAAUGAGAACAGGAAGCCGAGAUGCGGAAGUCAGCCUAAAGGCAUGUGGGGGAUUCUGGAGUGAAGUCUGGUGCUGGAGAGGGACGUCAGUUGUUAAAACAUAAAAGUGUGACAAAAGUGUGUAGCUCAGCUAAUGUAUCGGACAUUAACAUUUUAGUUUUAGUAAGCAAUAGUACAGUCAUUUCAGAUGCUAUUAAGAGAAAGCUGGAUGACAAGUACGUUGGAAUUCGAAAAUUCUUUUUGCAACUCUUGUGCAAGCGUUUCAAACUAAGGUUUUCUUUUCGAAAUUAUUGCUAUCUGCUCCUUAUAUUCCAGCACAAUAAAAUACCUAUUGUGUAUAUAAAAUGGUAAAAUGUAAAUGGAGCCUUCACCCCUACUGUCUAGUGUUUACGGUACUGGGAGGUACUUUGCACAGAACCAGAGGAGAAAGGUAACCAUCACCCAGCUACAAACCGUGGGACCUACAGUGGUGAGCUGCUUGCAGAUAGGCUGGCUCAAUACUGGCACAAAUGUAAGAAUAGCCAGCCACUCUCUGGUUGGAUAUAAGACCCAGCUAUGGGAUGGAACAAAACUGCUUGGGUAGCCAUGAACUUUAGACUGGAUAAUCAUGGUCUUAGGAGAAAACCACAUACUGUUGUUCUGAUUAAAAAAAAACACACACAGCAAUAAAAAUGACUCCCAACAACAUUCUGCUACACCCAUAGAUCAGUGAUUCACUCUCCAAUCAUCAAAGGAGUUUCCUCUUGUAGUAUAUGGGAACUAACCAGAGACCCGGAACUGAACAGUCAGUGUUCAGUGAGAGACCUAAUGGGCUAUCUUCAUCCCUCCACCCCAGAGCAAAGAAAUCUAGAAGAGGAGGAAAGACUAAGAGCCAGAGGAGUUUGGAGGACUCCAAGGAAGCAGAGUCACAAAAGGACUGAAGAGCAGAGUUCAAGUCAGAUGGGGUCCCAGCACCGAAAGGGGGAAGUGGAUGAGCGCUCCCACCCUAACCAAGAAACUAUCUGCAAUGACACUCACUUGCAAAGGAAAAAUUAAUUUUCUCCAAUGAAACCUUAACGGGUAUAUAAACCACGCUUAAGGACAGGUCCUAGGCCGACACAAACAAACUCAAAGGUAUGUACACUGUAGGUGUUCAUGGCAGCCAGAAGACUGUGUCAGAUCCCUUGGAGCUGGAGUUACAGGUCCUCUCAGCAAGCACAACAAGAAAUAUAUGUAUGUACACAUUUUAAUUUGUGGAUAUCCCCAUAUCAACCAAGCUAUUGAAAACCUGCAAUGCAGUACCAUGGAGAGAAU